rnacentral:rRNA from 1 species
AUGCAAGUCGAGCGAACAGAGAAGGAGCUUGCUCCUUUGACGUUAGCGGCGGACGGGUGAGUAACACGUGGGCAACCUACCCUAUAGUUUGGGAUAACUCCGGGAAACCGGGGCUAAUACCGAAUAAUCUAUGUCACCUCAUGGUGACAUACUGAAAGACGGCUUCUCCUUGUCCUUAUAGGAUGGGCCCGCGGCGCAUUACCUAGUUGGUGAGGUAAGGGCUCACCAAGGCGACAAUGCGUACCCAACCUGAAAGGGUGAUCGGCCACACUGGGACUGAAACACGGCCCAAACUCCUACGGGAGGCACCAGUAGGGAAUCUUCCACAAGGGGCAAAAGCCUGAUGGAGCACCGCCGCGUGAGUGAAAAAGGUUUUCGGAUCGUAAAACUCUGUUGUAAGGGAAAAACAAUUACAUUAUUAACUGGCUGUACCUUGACGGUACCUUAUUAAAAAGCCACGGCUAACUACUUGCCAGCAGCCGCGGUAAAACGUAGGUGGCAAGCGUUGUCCGGAAUUAUUGGGCGUAAAGCGC